rnacentral:rRNA from 1 species
CCUACGGGGUGCAGCAGUGAGGAAUAUUGGUCAAUGGGCGCGAGCCUGAACCAGCCAAGUAGCGUGAAGGAUGACUGCCCUACGGGUUGUAAACUUCUUUUAUAAAGGAAUAAAGUGAGGCACGUGGGCAUUUUUGUAGGUACGUUAUGAAUAAGGAUCGGCUAACUCCGUGCCAGCAGCCGCGGUAAUAUGGAGGAACCGAGCGUUAUCCGGAUUUAUUGGGUUGAAAGGGAGCGUAGAUGGGUUGUUAAGUCAGUGGUGCAAGUUUGCGGCUCUACCGUAAACUUGCAAUUUCUACUGGCAGUCUUGAGUACCGUUGAGGUCGGCGGAAUUCGUUGUGUAGCGG